CAUAUGAUAGAUUUAGAAAAGCUCAUCUCUUGUUUCUUCACUAAAAAACCAGCAAGCAAUCUUGAGAAAGAAUGAAGAAGAUGAGAGAACUCCUUCACUCAAAUCAGGACCUCGAAACUUGGUGCAUAGAAGGAAGAAGACGACCAACUUUUGGGCAUGGAAACCAAAGAUGCCCAAACUCUUGGGCAUGGAGGCAUGAGG
rnacentral:lncRNA from 1 species